UACGGGGGGGGCAAGCGUUGUUCGGAAUUACUGGGCGUAAAGGGCUCGUAGGCGGCCAACUAAGUCGGAUGUGAAAUCCCCAGGCUCAACCUGGGAACUGCAUCCGAUACUGGAUGGCUUGAAUUCGGGAGAGGGAUGCAGAAUUCCAGGUGUAGCGGUGAAAUGCGUAGAUAUCUGGAGGAAUACCGGUGGCGAAGGCGGCAUCCUGGACCGACAUUGACGCUGAGGAGCGAAAGCCAGGGGAGCAAACGGG
rnacentral:rRNA from 1 species